UAGCAUUGUUUGCACAGUUAUCCUUUUUGACAUUUCGGAUUAUUUUUAAUCCAGUCCAGUGGUAGUUUUAAAACACAGCCAGAUAGAGAGAACGUUUUCUACACACAUUUGAGUGUAUGUUUGGAGUGCUGUGCGGAACGAGGCACUGGCCCAUAUUCUCUUGUGUUUAGCUCGCUUAUCCAGCUUCACCGUGUGGGAAAUCUGCCUGAGGUGAAUCUGCCUGAGGUGAAAAUUGGACUGGACUGAGGACGACUCUGGCACAAUCUGGUGGAGUCAAUGAAGUGCGUUCCUAUGGCAACGUCAUUGACUUUGUCAGAGUCUCGUAUCUGGACCUUGAUGCGUUUGCAGAGCGGAGGAAACAUCUCAGUGAAGACCACCUGCUCAUUCCAGAUGGGCUCAUAACUGCUCUUCUGGACAGAAGUCUUCCCCUGGAGGAAACAACAACAAACGUUUGGAUUGACACACAUUUAAUUCUUAUACUAAGACACUUCAUUUUAUGUACAUAUUGUAAAUAAUGUAUACUGUAUUUAUAAUGUGACUGUGAUCCAUUUGAAUGCUAUUUGUCUCUUUUGUUUAUCCAACAAAUAAAUAAAACAGACAGUUUCAAUAAAA